rnacentral:misc_RNA from 1 species
CCUGUCUUUAUUGCCUCUGGUUCUUGGAACAAAAACCAACGAUCUACUCUUAGUGAGCACAUUCUUGCCACUUAACAAGAAAGAUAAAGAUCCCUUCCCUUGCACUCCAUAUCGAUAACGAUGCACUGGAGACGAAGAAGAAGAACAAGAAGAAGAGGAAUACGAAGAUAAUGAAGAAGAAGAAGAAACGGAAUCCAUUGCAGUAGAAGAAGAGGUAGUACGUGAGCUGCAGGAAUUUGAAAGCUGAAAGAGCUUUUCACUCAAACAAAUGGAGCAAACGCCAGGAGACUGCUUGUGUUUUGGGUGCUUCUUGCACCUGCCGUCAGGCCUAGAGCGAGGCAUAGCU